GCGGCCUGCUCGUGAUCGUCUUCUCACCGUUCACCGGGCAGGCGCGGAGAGGAAACCCCCCGGGAGGACGUGACUCCCGGGGGGUUUCC
rnacentral:ncRNA from 1 species